AUACAAAUCACAAUUGAGAUGACAUCAAAAACUCAUUUUACCUUCACAUAUUCUCUCUUAACUCUCACUGUCUUCUUCUUUCUAAAAGCUACUUUUUCAGUUGCAAUACAUAUAUUUUUCAAAAAAAAUAAAAACAUAACAAUUGAAUGAAGAUGAAAGAAAUACCAACUCUUCCUCAAGACAUCAUCAUUGAAAUUCUCAUCAGGUUACCUCUCAAAACUCUCUUGAAAUUCAGGUCUGUUUCCAAAUCAUGGCUUUAUUUACUCUCAGAUGCACAAUUCCAUAAAACCCAUAUCAGUUUUUCUAUGAACAAUCCCAAAUUUACCGACUGCACCCUUGCUGCUAUACCCACUGUUUCUGGUUUGGGCAAAAUUUGUCAUGUCUACACUAUAAGCUCUGAUAAUUCAUCUGUUAUUCUGUCUAAACAUGGGUGUCCUUCUAAGACACUGUCUCUCUCGGCUUGGAUUUUGGGUUCUUGUAAUGGGUUAAUUUGCUUAACUUCUGAUUGCUUUAAUUUAAUGUUAUUGAACCCGUGUACUGGAAAGUUUAGUUUAUUUCCUGAUUUGAUGAUUGAGUAUGAAGUUGGUGAUGGUGGUGUGCAUAUUCGAUAUGGGUUUGGUUAUGAUGCAUCUACGGAUGAUUAUAAGGUUGUGAAGAUGUUUAGUUUUCCUCGAAUCGAUAAUGAGGGAAGACAUGUUAAUAUGGUUAGUGUUUAUAGCUUAAAGGGAAGUUCUUGGUCAAGUAUUCAGGGUUUUGACAGUGGUCAUGUAAAUGGAAAUGUUGGUGUGUUUGCCAAUGGGGUUCUUCAUUGGGAAGGAUGUUAUGAUUAUGUUUCGGGUGGUGUUUCGUCGGAGAUUGUUACAUUGGAUUUGGCUAAAGAGAUAUAUGGGAGGAUAGCUCUGCCUAGGUAUGAAGGUGGAGGUAUUACUUGGACAUUAGGUGAAUCGAGAGGGCGUUUAGUUGCUUGUUGCAAUUAUGAAUCAAAUAAGGCAGAUAUGUGGGUGUUGAAGGAAUAUGGUGUAGAGAAAACAUGGACUAAAGUGGUUACCAUUUCAUCACCGGAUGAUCGUAGAGUUAACAUCUCGCCGUUGUUUGUGGCAGAGAAUGGUGAUGAGGUUCUGGUGAAGCUUGGCACAGAGGUGACACUGUAUAAUUCAAGGAAUGCAUCAUUCAAGCGAAUUGCCGAUUAUGUGUCUACGGAUGAUUUUCUUCAAGUUCAAGUGACUACCUACAUGGAGAGCCUUGCUUCACCUCAUAUUUAGUGACCUGAUGGAACGACGAAAUCACAAUCCGCUUGAUGAUUCUGAAUCUAGACAUAAAGGUCUACAACGCAUUCAAGAUUCAAGAUUUAAUACCUUCCGGGUCUCAAACAUCUUGACGGGACAAGGACUAAGAGAGCAACAGAGUGAAUUUCCGAGAAAUGAAGAAGCUAAGAAUUGAUUUAAACUCGAAGGGAUUGAACCGGUUAAUCUAUUGAAAGACACAUUGAAUUCAUUGAGCUGUGAGAGGUUUUUCAAAU